GAUGAACGCUAGCUACAGGCUUAACACAUGCAAGUCGAGGGACCGGCGCAGGGGUGAGUAACACGUAUCCAACCUGCCCUUUACUAGGGGAUAGCCUUUCGAAAGAAAGAUUAAUACCCGAAAUAAAGUAUGGGGAUGCGUUCGAUUAGUUGGUGGGGUAGGUAACGGCUCACCAAGCCUUCGAUGGAUAGGGGUUAUGAGAGGAAGCUCCACCACAUUGGAACUGAGACACGGUCCAAACUCCUACGGGAGGCAGCAGUGAUGAAUAUUGGUCAAUGGGCGCUAGCCUGACCCAGCCAAGUAGCGUGAAGGAUGAAUGCUUAUGGGUCGUAAACUUCUUUUAUAUAAGAAUAUGUAUUAUAUGAAUAAGGAUCGGCUAACUCCGUGCCAGCAGCCGCGGUAAUUC
rnacentral:rRNA from 1 species